rnacentral:rRNA from 1 species
UACGGAGGAGGCAAGCGUUAUCCGGAAUUAUUGGGCGUAAAGCGUCCGCAGGUGGCACUUCAAGUCUGUCGUCAAAGACUGGGGCUUAACCCUGGAAAGGCGGUGGAAACUGAAGCGCUAGAGUGCGGUAGGGGUAGAGGGAAUUCCCGGUGUAGCGGUGAAAUGCGCAGAUAUCAGGAGGAACACCGGUGGCGAAGGCGGCUACCUGGACCGGAACUGACGCUGAUGCGCGAAAGCGUGGGUAGCAAACAGG